rnacentral:rRNA from 1 species
GAUGAACGCUGGCGGCGUGCCUAAUACAUGCAAGUCGAGCGAACAGACGAGGAGCUUGCUCCUCUGACGUUAGCGGCGGACGGGUGAGUAACACGUGGAUAACCUACCUAUAAGACUGGGAUAACUUCGGGAAACCGGAGCUAAUACCGGAUAAUAUAUUGAACCGCAUGGUUCAAUAGUGAAAGACGGUUUUGUUUUCACUUAUAGAUGGAUCCGCGCCGCAUUAGCUAGUUGGUAAGGUAACGGCUUACCAAGGCGACGAUGCGUAGCCGACCUGAGAGGGUGAUCGGCCACACUGGAACUGAGACACGGUCCAGACUCCUACGGGAGGCAGCAGUAGGGAAUCUUCCGCAAUGGGCGAAAGCCUGACGGAGCAACGCCGCGUGAGUGAUGAAGGUCUUCGGAUCGUAAAACUCUGUUAUUAGGGAAGAACAAAUGUGUAAGUAACUAUGCACGUCUUGACGGUACCUAAUCAGAAAGCCACGGCUAACUACGUG